rnacentral:rRNA from 1 species
GAUGAACGCUGGCGGCGUGCCUAAUACAUGCAAGUCGAGCGAAUGGAUUAAGAGCUUGCUCUUAUGAAGUUAGCGGCGGACGGGUGAGUAACACGUGGGUAACCUGCCCAUAAGACUGGGAUAACUCCGGGAAACCGGGGCUAAUACCGGAUAACAUUUUGAACCGCAUGGUUCGAAAUUGAAAGGCGGCUUCGGCUGUCACUUAUGGAUGGACCCGCGUCGCAUUAGCUAGUUGGUGAGGUAACGGCUCACCAAGGCAACGAUGCGUAGCCGACCUGAGAGGGUGAUCGGCCACACUGGGACUGAGACACGGACCAGACUCGUACGGUAGGCAGCAGUAGGGAAUCUUCCGCAAUGGACGAAAGUCUGACGGAGCAACGCCGCGUGAGUGAUGAAGGCUUUCGGGUCGUAAAACUCUGUUGUUAGGGAAGAACAAGUGCUAGUUGAAUAAGCUGGCACCUCGACGGUACCUAACCAGAAAGCCACGGCUAACUACGUGCCAGCCGCCGCGGUAA